rnacentral:tRNA from 2 species
GCCCCAGUAGCUCAGCAGGAUAGAGCAUCGGAUUCCUAAUCCGGAGGUCACAGGUUCGAAUCCUGUCUGGGGUACCA